rnacentral:rRNA from 1 species
AGUGAACGCUGGCGGUAGGCCUAACACAUGCAAGUCGAACGGCAGCACAGUAAGAGCUUGCUCUUACGGGUGGCGAGUGGCGGACGGGUGAGGAAUACAUCGGAAUCUACUUUUUCUUGGGGGAUAACGUAGGGAAACUUACGCUAAUACCGCAUACGACCUACGGGUGAAAGCAGGGGAUCUUCGGACCUUUCGCGAUUGUAUUAGCCGAUGUCGGAUUAGCUAGUUGGCGGGGUAAAGGCCCACCAAGGCGACGAUCCGUAGCUGGUCUGAGAGGAUGAUCAGCAAAACUGGAAGUGAGACACGGUCCAGACUACUACGGGAGGCAGCAGUGGGGAAUAUUGGACAAUGGGCGCAAGCAUGAUCCAGCAAUACCGCGUGGGUGAAGAAGGCCUUCGGGUUGUAAAGACCUUUUGUUGGGAAAGAAAAGCAGCAGGUUAAUACCCCGAUGUUCUGACGGUAACAAAAGAAUAAGCACCGGCUAACUUCGUG